UUCCCCCACUUUGGUUCAGUACAUUGAAUCUCCUGAUGUGGAAAAGGAAGUGAAAAGACUCCUGUGUUCAGAUGCUGAAGCUGUCAGUGCUCGUAUCCUUUUAUACUAAAUAUUUUCUGUGUGAUCUGUUCCACCCCAUAUGUACUUGCUGACAAGCCCUCACUUCUGGUAUUUGUGUGCAAAUUUUGAUGUAUAGAGCUUAAGGUUUUUGGAAAUGUUACUUUCUAGCUAGGAACAGUAAAUUCACAUCAUAGAAAUGUAUUUACUUGUGUACCUCAAUAUAAGGUACUUCUUCAUACUAGGAAUUCAGAUACAAACAGCCUGAAGUUGGACUAAAUUAAGUAGCAUUUUCGGCCAGAGAGCCUCUUCCCUUUCAACUGUGCCUUCUCCUUUCUUUCUGCUUGUUCCUUAACUGACCCACCUUUCAGGAUGGGAAGUCAUUGCUGAAGAUGAAACCAAGGAAAUAGAGAGUCAGGGCUCUAUCCCAGGCUUUGCAAUAUCCCCAGGAAUGAGUGACUAUAAGCAGGAUCAUAUCUCAUCAGAAUACAGUAUGCUCCGGGAGGUGUUCAGUGAUUCUAGCAGUAACAGUGAUGAUGAGGAUGAGGAUGAGGAUGAGGAUGAGGAUGAGGAUGAGGAUGAUGAGGAUGAGGACGAGGACGAGGACGAGGAGGAGGACGAGGACGAGGAGGAUGAAGAGGAUGACUAUGAUGAUGAGUACGAAGUUGUGGAAGAGGAGGAAGAUGAUUAUGAAGAGAACCUGGAAAGGGAGCUACAGGCCAGGUUCUCGGCGUCUGGCCAGUAUGAGGCAAAGGAAGGAGCCAGUUCAAUAGGUAAGUUAUAGAGGAAAAACCAAGGGGGCGGGACAGAGUGGGUGGCAGUGCUGAAGACUGACUCUAAACACACAUUAUUUUUUUUUUAUAAUGAUUUUUUAUUAUAUUAUGUUAGUCACCAUACAGUACAUCCCCGGUUUUCGAUGUAAGGCUCGAUGAUUCAUUAGUUGUAUAUAUAAACACACAUUAGAUGCAAUGCUAAGUUUGAGAAGUUAUUGCUGAGAUGUGUAGUGGAGGCUUAGUUGAUUGUGAUCUCGAUCCGCUAUGUUUAAUCAAAUCUCUGUCUAUCUCUGUUAGUCAUGGAUAUUCAGAAGCAAAUUCAUUACAUGGAGAAAAAGCUCCAAGAGAUUCGAUGCAAAGCACAAAGACAGAGGGAUCUCAUAAUGAAAGUGGAAAACCUGACGCUCAAGGUAAAUUCUUGUCAGCUGCGAUAAAGGUAUCUUGAAAUCUCACUUUCAGAAUCCCGUCUUUGUGUUUCGACUCAUGUUGUCUCUGUGCAGCAUUCUUACUCGUUUGCACACCAUAACAACCUCUUAGAAACCCCUCAUAAAACAUAGCCCCAGUCCUUUUACCUGAGUAAUUUUGAUCAUCUCACACAAGCAGUUUUGGGAAGAGACCAGGAGACCUGAGCUAUAAUCACCAAUAUUGAACAUUUGUUAUGUGCAAGGCACAUAAAGAGCUAACCAUUUUCCACAUAUCAUCUCAUUUCAUCCUCACAUUCCUGAAAUACAGGUACUGUCACUAGUCCUAUUUUAUAGAUAAGGAAUUGAAAAUUCAGAGAGGUUAAGUGAGUUACCAAGGACCACAGUAAGUGGACAGACAUGGAUUGAAUCCUGUUGUUUGUACCAAAAUGUAUUCAUUGCAGUGAAAGAAAAUUAACUAAAUUCAUUUUUAAAUGUUAUGAUGCCUGCCUGAACAAGAGUAAAUAUCUUGCUUUAUUUUUGUUAAUACACAUUUCAACCAAAGGAAAAU
ensembl:lncRNA